rnacentral:rRNA from 1 species
CUACGGGCGGCUCCAGUGGGGAAUAUUGCACAAUGGGCGCAAGCCUGAUGCAGCCAUGCCGCGUGUAUGAAGAAGGCCUUCGGGUUGUAAAGUACUUUCAGCGGGGAGGAAGGGAGUAAAGUUAAUACCUUUGCUCAUUGACGUUACCCGCAGAAGAAGCACCGGCUAACUCCGUGCCAGCAGCCGCGGUAAUACGGAGGGUGCAAGCGUUAAUCGGAAUUACUGGGCGUAAAGCGCACGCAGGCGGUUUGUUAAGUCAGAUGUGAAAUCCCCGGGCUCAACCUGGGAACUGCAUCUGAUACUGGUAAGCUUGAGUCUCGUAGAGGGGGGUAGAAUUCCAGGUGUAGCGGUGAAAUGCGUAGAGAUCUGGAGGAAUACCGGUGGCGAAGGCGGCCCCCUGGACGAAGACUGACGCUCAGGUGCGAAAGCGCGGGGAGCAAACAGGAUUAGAUACCCGUGUAGUC